rnacentral:rRNA from 1 species
CUACGGGGUGCUGCAGUGGGGAAUAUUGCACAAUGGGCGCAAGCCUGAUGCAGCGACGCCGCGUGAGUGAUGAAGUAUUUCGGUAUGUAAAGCUCUAUCAGCAGGGAAGAAAAUGACGGUACCUGACUAAGAAGCCCCGGCUAACUACGUGCCAGCAGCCGCGGGUAAUACGUAGGGGGCAAGCGUUAUCCGGAUUUACUGGGUGUAAAGGGAGCGUAGGUGGCAAGGCAAGUCAGAAGUGAAAACCCAGAGCUCAACUUUGGGACUGCUUUUGAAACUGUCUAGCUAGAGUGCAGGAGAGGUAAGCGGAAUUCCUAGUGUAGCGGUGAAAUGCGUAGAUAUUAGGAGGAACACCAGUGGCGAAGGCGGCUUACUGGACUGUAACUGACACUGAGGCUCGAAAGCGUGGGGAGCAAACAGGAUUAGAUACCCCAGUAGUC